CAUCUUUUACGUAUGUUGAAGCCGAGGAGGAGGUCGGAACACCGUUCCAAGCCUUGUCUAUUUCUUAGGAGAAGAAAACUGGGCACCCAUGUCUUCUUUAAAAGAUGCACAAAAGGCUAUUGAGGUUGGCAUCAUCGAUCAGUGGGGCCGUAUGAUAGAGAUUGCUGAGAACAAGAAUAUGGCUGGAUAUGGAUUUCAACCAGGG
rnacentral:lncRNA from 1 species